CGAACGGGUGAGUAACACGUGGGCAACCUGCCCAAAAGAGGGGGAUAACACUUGGAAACAGGUGCUAAUACCGCAUAACCAUAGUUACCGCAUGGUAGCUAUGUAAAAGGUGGCUAUGCUACCGCUUUUGGAUGGGCCCGCGGCGCAUUAGCUAGUUGGUGGGGUAAAGGCUACCAAGGCAAUGAUGCGUAGCCGAACUGAGAGGUUGAUCGGCCACAUUGGGACUGAGACACGGCCCAAACUCCUACGGAAGGCAGCAG
rnacentral:rRNA from 1 species